GCGCUCCGGUGCUGCUCCGCGACGCCGGCCGCCGCCGACGGAGGAGGCAGGUGGUGGAGGUGGUGGGUGAGGGACGCGCCCUUGUAGAAGAAAAGAGAAUGAACAAUUACCCGAAAGCGAGUGAUAUUAGGAAGGUAACCACCGGGAGCAGAUUGCCGAAAGUCGCAGCAAAUGUUGCGGUCGUGUACUCCAACCCGACGAAGAGCGUGUACUGAAGCAGCACCGGUCCGAGGAUUCCACUAAGGAACAGGCAAUGGGGCCAAGGAAUACAGUGGCCAGCAUCUGCCUGAAAGUGAUGAGGACCAGCCGGUUCAUCCCCUGGUUCAGCGCCUGCUUGAGCAGCGCGGUCAUGACGGCGAUCACGACGUUCGUCGCCACCAUCGCCGCCGUCGGCAUCCACUGCUCCACGCAUCCUGCACUCCACAUUUUCGGUCCGUCCGCCUUGAUGAUCUGAUGGGCAGCUUGUUUCUGGUUAUGCCAUGGUUUUAUAGGGGUGGUGACAGCCGAAGGUCCAGAAAAUGGCAUCUGAAGAUGGUACCGUGGCCGAGGCAUCCCUGCUCUUUCCCCACAGCAGAAUAUAGAGGCCCAUGAUCAUCAGUAUGGAUCCCAGUACACUGCAAUGGCAAAACAAAAAAUACAAAAGGUGAUGCCGUUUGGACCAGCCAUUGCAGUUCUACAAGUGCAGAAAGUGGAUAAACUCACCCGUAAACUGAAAAGAUUAAGCAUCAUUUGUUUCAACAUGGGAACUGAAUGAAUGGCCAUGAUACAGUACUGGUUGAAUAACCGAGGCAGGUC